ACCUUUCUGACGUUACAGUCACAGCAAAGUACCGCGCCUCCGCCGCAGGAUGCAUUUAGUAUAUAAGAAACAGUACCGUAUAUAUUUUGUACAGGAUGAUAUUCUAAUUUGGUAAUGAGAAAGGAUGUGUGGUGCUACUGAGCAAUUAGGAUGUGUGGUGCUACUGAGCAAUUAAUAAUCAAACUGCUAUAAUGCAGAUGUAGUAGUUGAAAUAAUGUUUUUUCAACUAAAAAUUGUAUGUUGAAACAUUUACUUUGAAAUAUUGAUCAAAAUGGAUGGUGGACAGCAGCACAUUAAAUUUGUGUCUUAAUCACUACUUGACCAAGAGUUAGUAGAAGAAAAAUUGUUGACAACUUAGAAGCAAGAUGGAAACCGAAAGAGUGUGUGAAUUACAUGUAUCAGUUUGGAUAUACAUUCAUCAAUAAGCUACAGGUGGUUGUUGUUAACCACCCAUCAUUU